GGUCCCAUAGCUCAGUUGGUUAGAGCGUCGUACUAAUAGUAUGAGUCAAUCGUAACGUUGGUAAAUGCGAAGGCCGUGAGUUCAAGCCUCACUGGGACCA
rnacentral:tRNA from 1 species